CCUACGGGAGGCAGCAGUGGGGAAUAUUGCACAAUGGGGGAAACCCUGAUGCAGCGACGCCGCGUGAGUGAAGAAGUAUUUCGGUAUGUAAAGCUCUAUCAGCAGGGAAGAAGAAAGACGGUACCUGACUAAGACGCCCCGGCUACCUACGUGCCAGCAGCCGCGGUCAUACGUAGGGGGCAAGCGUUAUCCGGAUUUACUGGGUGUAAAGGGAGCGUAGACGGCUGUGCAAGUCUGAAGUGAAAGCCCAGGGCUCAACCCUGGGACUGCUUUGGAAACUGUGGAGCUAGAGUGCUGGAGAGGUAAGUGGAAUUCCUAGUGUAGCGGUGAAAUGCGUAGAUAUUAGGAGGAACACCAGUGGCGAAGGCGGCUUACUGGACAGUAACUGACGUUGAGGCUCAAAAGCGUGGGGAGCAAACAGGAUUAGAUACCCUUGUAGUC
rnacentral:rRNA from 1 species